GGGCCUUCACUGCGAUCAGGCAGGCAGUGGGUCCAAGGUGAGACUAGGCCAUUGCACAUAGGCUUAGCUGACCCUUGCGAUUACCCUAAAAAACUCUAGCGGUUUGAAUUCAA